rnacentral:rRNA from 1 species
AAAAGGUGGCUAUGCUACCGCUUUUGGAUGGGCCCGCGGCGCAUUAGCUAGUUGGUGGGGUAAAGGCUUACCAAGGCAAUGAUGCGUAGCCGAACUGAGAGGUUGAUCGGCCACAUUGGGACUGAGACACGGCCCAAACUCCUACGGGAGGCAGCAGUAGGGAAUCUUCCACAAUGGGCGAAAGCCUGAUGGAGCAACGCCGCGUGGGUGAAGAAGGUCUUCGGAUCGUAAAACCCUGUUGUUAGAGAAGAAAGUGCGUGAGAGUAACUGUUCACGUUUCGACGGUAUCUAACCAGAAAGCCACGGCUAACUACGUGCCAGCAGCCGCGGUAAUACGUAGGUGGCAAGCGUUAUCCGGAUUUAUUGGGCGUAAAGGGAACGCAGGCGGUCUUUUAAGUCUGAUGUGAAAGCCUUCGGCUUAACCGGAGUAGUGCAUUGGAAACUGGGAGACUUGAGUGCAGAAGAGGAGAGUGGAACUCCAUGUGUAGCGGUGAAAUGCGUAGAUAUAUGGAAGAACACCAGUGGCGAAAGCGGCUCUCUGGUCUGUAACUGACGCUGAGGUUCGAAAGCGUGGGUAGCAAACAGGAUUAGAUACCCUGGUAGUCCACGCCGUAAACGAUGAAUGCUAAGUGUUGGAGGGUUUCCGCCCU